rnacentral:rRNA from 1 species
AGACCGAUAGCGAACAAGUAGAGUGAUCGAAAGAUGAAAAGCACUUUGGAAAGAGAGUUAAACAGCACGUGAAAUUGUUAAAAGGGAAGCGUUUAUGACCAGACUUGGGCCGGUUAAUCAUCCAGCGUUCUCGCUGGUGCACUUUGCCGGUCCAGGCCAGCAUCAGUUCGCUGCGGGGGAUAAAGGCGUCGGGAAUGUGGCUCCUCUGGAGUGUUAUAGCCCUUCGCGCAAUACCCUGCGGUGGACUGAGGUUCGCGCAUCUGCAAGGAUGCUGGCGUAAUGGUCAUCAACGACCCGUCUUGAAACACGGACCAAG